AGGGUUAUAGUUUAUUUAAAACAUUUGAUUUGCAAUCAAAAUACAUUGAAUUUAUUCAAUUUACCUUA
rnacentral:tRNA from 1 species